rnacentral:tRNA from 1 species
UAUAAUUUAAUGUAUGAAGCAUAAAAAUUUUUGAUAUUUUUAGUAAUAGUUUGAUUCUAUUAAUUAUAA